rnacentral:rRNA from 1 species
ACAGAGGGGGCAAGCGUUGUUCGGAAUUACUGGGUGUAAAGGGCGCGUAGGCGGCCUUCUAAGGCGAACGUGAAAUCCCCCGGCUCAACCGGGGAAUGGCGCGGAAAACUGCGGGGCUUGAGUUCAGGAGAGGGAAGCGGAAUUCCGGGUGUAGCGGUGAAAUGCGUAGAUAUCCGGAGGAACACCGGUGGCGAAGGCGGCUUCCUGGACCGACACUGACGCUGAGGCGCGAAAGCUAGGGGAGCAAACGGGA